rnacentral:rRNA from 1 species
ACGAACGCUUUCUUCGUGCUUCACUCAUGCAAGUCGAACGGAAAGGCCCUGCUUUUGUGGGGUGCUCGAGUGGCGAACGGGUGAGUAACACGUGAGUAACCUGCCCUUGACUUUGGGAUAACUUCAGGAAACUGGGGCUAAUACCGGAUAGGAGCUCCUGCUGCAUGGUGGGGGUUGGAAAGUUUCGGCGGUUGGGGAUGGACUCGCGGCUUAUCAGCUUGUUGGUGGGGUAGUGGCUUACCAAGGCUUUGACGGGUAGCCGGCCUGAGAGGGUGACCGGCCACAUUGGGACUGAGAUACGGCCCAGACUCCUACGGGAGGCAGCAGUGGGGAAUAUUGCACAAUGGGCGGAAGCCUGAUGCAGCAACGCCGCGUGCGGGAUGACGGCCUUCGGGUUGUAAACCGCUUUCGCCUGUGACGAAGCGUGAGUGACGGUAAUGGGUAAAGAAGCACCGGCUAACUACGUG